ACUAGCAGUAAGAGUUUGAUCAUGGCUCAGGACAAACGCUGGCGGGGUGCGUGAGACAUGCAAGUCGAACGAGGAGCCUCCGAGCUUGCUUGGAGGUUUCCUAGUGGCGGACGGCUGAGUAACGCGUAGGUGACCUACCCGGAAGUGGGGAAUAACUGCCCGAAAGGCGGGCUAAUACCGCAUAACGCUCCCGGUGAGAUUCCGGGUAGUAAAAGCUUCGGCGCUACUGGACGGGUCUGCGGUCGAUUAGCUUGUUGGUGGGGUAAUGGCUCACCAAGGCGACGAUCGAUAGCUGGUCUGAGAGGAUGGUCAGCCACACGGGGACUGAGACACGGCCCCGACUCCUACGGGAGGCAGCAGCUAAGAAUCUUGCGCAAUGGGCGAAAGCCUGACGCAGCAACGCCGCGUGGGGGAGGAAGGCCUUCGGGUUGUAAACCCCUUUUGCGAGGGAAGAAGUUCUGACGGUACCUCGCGAAUAAGCCACGGCUAACUACGUGCCAGCCGCCGCGGUAAUAC
rnacentral:rRNA from 1 species